rnacentral:piRNA from 1 species
UUUGGUAGAUCAGAUAUAACA